UACGUAGGGUGCGAGCGUUAAUCGGAAUUACUGGGCGUAAAGCGUGCGCAGGCGGUUAUGUAAGACAGAUGUGAAAUCCCCGGGCUCAACCUGGGAACUGCAUUUGUGACUGCAUAGCUAGAGUACGGUAGAGGGGGAUGGAAUUCCGCGUGUAGCAGUGAAAUGCGUAGAUAUCAGGAGGAACACCGGUGGCGAAGGCGGGAUCCUGGGCCAGUACUGACGCUGAGGAGCGAAAGCGUGGGGAGCAAACAGG
rnacentral:rRNA from 1 species